rnacentral:rRNA from 1 species
AUUGAACGCUGGCGGCAUGCUUUACACAUGCAAGUCGGACGAGUGGCGAACGGGUGAGUAACGCAUCGGAACGUACCGAGUAAUGGGGGAUAACUGUCCGAAAGGGCAGCUAAUACCGCAUAUUAUUCGAGCGGCCGAUGUCUGAUUAGCUGGUUGGUGGGGUAAAGGCUCACCAAGGCGACGAUCAGUAGCGGGUCUGAGAGGAUGAUCAGCCACACUGGAACUGGGACACGGGCCAGACUCCUACGGGAGGCAGCAGUGGGGAAUUUUGGACAAUGGGCGCAAGCCUGAUCCAGCCAUGCCGCGUGUCUGAAGAAGGCCUUCGGGUUGUAAAGGACUUUUAUCAGGGAAGCGGUACUUGAAGAAUAAGCACCGGCUAACUACGUGCCAGCAGCCGCGGUAAUUC